GCACAGACUCACUAGAGAAAGAAUCCUGCCAAGAGACUGCGACAGCCACAUCCUUGCAGUGACAUCUUGGACCCCAGGCACAUGUGUGCUGUCACCACCAUACCGGAUACUGCCAUCAUGCCUCUUAACAGCCCGAAUGACCCAGCCACCGAGGAGCAGAAGCUACACGAUAAGUGGCCCCAUCAAAUAAGCCAACAUAUUAAGGUUCGUCUGCAAACUGCUCCCAGUGUGAAAAGAUGGAUGUGUCUUUUUUUCUUUCUUCUUUUUUUUUAUAUCACCUGAAACUAACAGCCUUCAAAAAAGGUGAAAUUUUACAACCACAAUAUUAAACAAGUGACUUCAUCAUUGUGGACAAACAUAGUAAGUCCAAAAAGAGAAUCCAUCAGUCUUCAAAUAGAGAAAAAGAAAGUUUCCAUAAUCCUCAGCAGCGAACAAAGUCCGUCUCAUGUGGUUGGAACCAGUUCUCGAUAAAUAAAACUCACUCCAGGCAUUGAAAUAAGCAUCUGCACCCUCAUUUCCUGCCUGUUGGUUUGGUAUUGACUAUUCAUGGGCUGGCGAGUGGCAGGGUGGAAAAUAAUAAUGAGAGUAGUGAGCAAGGAGAGGAGGACCAUUCACGGCAUUGAUCCCUUCCUCCAGCCCCGGAGGAGAGAGAGAGUGAGUGAGAGAGGAAAGAGAGAGGGAGUGCCGCUCAAAGCCUCCUCCUCCCCUGCACCCUGUUGCUGAUUGGUGUUGAUGGAGAGUCCUGUAGCAUCAAGGUGACACAGGUGUUUUGGGCCACGCACUUGCAAAUGACUGACUGCACAUUCCUGCCCUCAGAUGCUGUCCAGUCCAGACUCAUCAC